rfam:Dehalobacter sp. CF, complete genome.
AUAUUGCGCAUCGAUCAGGCCGAUACACUUGACACUUGAUUUAGGUGUAUAAGGCUGGGCCGGUAUACUGGCAGCAGGAGACAAACCCUGUGGGACUAUA